UUUCUUAUUUUUAAGAGAGUCCCGAUAUGGUGAAUUUAUGUUUCAUCUUUCUCUUCCUUUUUCUUUAAAACUGAAAAUUUCAAUCUCAACGAGUGAAGCUAGGGUUAUGAGGUAUUGAAGGCAACCGACCACGCACAGAUUCGGCAUCGAGAACGACCUAAAAUGGCCAAAGAAGCCACUACCUUGCACGUGUGCUUCCUCUCUCUCUUUGUAAUCAGCUGUUGCUACGGUUGUUGGCCAUCGAUCGUGGCUGCUUAGAGGUCGCCGGUCAUCGCUCAUCUUUCGAUGAAGGUCACUGCCACCGAUGGUGAGGGUGGUGGUCGGUGGAAGUGAGAGAGAGAAGGGAAGAAAGAGAGAGAGGGAGAGAGAGAGUGUGAGAGGUUGUUGAUUUCACGUUUUUCUUUUCUUUUGUUUUUUUUUCAGCUUAUCAUGUAUAAUUACAUAUUAAUACUUAAUCUUUUAAAGAUAACUCAAACCAAUACAAAUUUUUUUAAACAAUCAA
rnacentral:lncRNA from 1 species